rnacentral:lncRNA from 1 species
UGGGGAUGUAACCAUAACUAGAGCCUGCACAGUGUUUGUUGUUGCUUGGUAGCUUAGAACUUGGUCCUGAAAUGAAGCAUGGCUAUUAAAAGUGAAAGGAACAGAAAGAAGGCGAGGGGGAAAGAGGGAAAAUGGUGAGGAAAAAGUUAACCCCUUUAUUUGCAUAUUAGGAUGCCUGAACAUUCUGGUGAUCCAUUUAUCGUGCUCUCUCGUUCUGAGAGAAAAUACGUUUGAGAAAAGUUCUCUCGAGUUCUCACUUUAUUUUCUACAAUAAUCAUGAUCAACAUUAUUAAUAUAACAAGUCAAUAAAUAUCAACAUACUGUUCCUCCAGAUAAUCAGGGCAGUAGCAAGUAGCACCUUGUAGGUCUACCAUCCAUAAUUGCAUGAGUGAGAUAGACUUGUUAGGAGGAUCAUUUCCAUAAUGAAACAGACCUAUGGGGUUAACUAACAGGUAAGCAGUAUUCUUCCAGUUCUCUCAUGUCUCCACCUGGUGAUGAAGUGACUGUAUUACAGCCUGACAGCCAGGAGACCUUCCACAGUAACAGGAUCACAGUGAGUGUUUAGUCAUGGGACAUCCUAUUGUUGACUGCUGACCAACAUACCUGGCACAUGUUAAUAACAUAUGUGUCAUAACAAUAGCAUUACAGCCCAAUGAUACUCUGGGCUGUCUAAAACCCUUUACCAUGGCAAUGAAUACCUCCACUGUAUGAAUCGGGUCCCUAAUCUUAUUUUUAACAGAGAUCCACUUCAAUGAAUGGCAUAGAUACAGCCAUUCACAGAUUCCCAAGAACAGAUUUCAGAUUCUAGAAUCCAAUCUGCCUUCUAGAACCAUCCUUGACUGACAGUUGGUUGUUGUACAGGUACUGACAUGACUUUUAAUGUUUAGUCUGUCAUCAAAAGCCUCAUCUAAAUAUGACUUCUAUCUGAACUGAUACAUUCUCAUUUUAAUGUUUAGUCUGUCAUCAGAUAGAAGUAAUAUUUUGAUGAGCUGAUGGUAGUUCCUCUUCACAGUCUGAUUAUAAUGAAGAUCAUAAAUGGAUACAUUUACAUCGCUGUCUCGCAUGUCUUUAUUGGAAUAACCCCACAGGAAAAAUACAUCAAAUGACACCAAAACAAAAACUUUUUUGAUCAUACUAGAAUUUAUACACUCCACCACACACAUACCUUAUUUAAUAAAGUAAGAAAAAUAAUGGAAACAAAAUAUAAUUCAUAGAAUUGUACAAUAUACAGAAUUUACAAAUCCAAAUCCAAACGCUGCCAGUGUUCUACCAGGUGUUGAAAUAAGUGAAACCUGUUUUAACGGGACUAUUUCAAAUAAAGAUUUACCUUUAUACUGUAUGUCCACGGCAUGGCAAUAUUAAAGUGUUGAUAUCAACCAUGGUAAAGAAAAUAUAAAAUAAAUAAUGUGCUAUUGAGGUAGUGAGUGCUCGACUGGAAGGUAAACUAUCACACUAGAUAUUUGUAUGUUGUUUAAGUAUGUCUCAGAAAACAAAUGUUGUGCAAAUAGUUAGUUGACAAAGAAUCUGCAUCAGAGUGUUUCUGGAUCAGGGAGCUAUACAGGAAGUGUAUUUGCUCCGCUACACCUGCAAAUCAAAUCAGAUUCACAACCUGUGAGCUCAGUGUUCAGUCAUGGUUUGGUUACUCAACACCCAAGGUCUUGGUCUAGGUCUGGGGUCAGAGUCUAGUUCUGGUCUUGGUCUCAAGAGUCUUUAUAUACACAUGGUCUUGGUCUAUCUUUAGUUGUGACUCUAUCCCUCUCUUCCUGUUCACUAUAUCUCUACAUCACUCCCAUCCAGUGCCCCAUCACCAGUGACAUUAGUGACCCAAUGAUGACGAUGAUGCUGUUAUAGAUGGGCCCGCUGGAUGCUCCAUAGUAGUACUCCAUAUCCCCAGAGCCUUCUGGUCCCUCAUAGCCACCAGGCCUGGGGCCAUACCCUCCACCUCUGGGGUAGCCCCCAUAGCCUCCUCCAUAGCCUCCAUAACCCCCCCCCAUAACCACCUCCAUACCCCCCAUAUCCUCCUCCAUAGCCAGGACGACUCAGGGCACUGCCCAGCAUUGCUCCCCCCCAGGGCACCAGCAGCAGCAGCCCCUGCCAUCUUCCCCGCACUGGAGCCUCCACUCUGGGCAGGCAUUGGUCGGUAUGCCGGUCCGCUCGAGGAUGGCAUUGGUCGGUAUCCCGUGCCUCCACCUUGACGAGGGUAACCGCUACCUCCACGUCUACUACCUCCCCACCCCCCACCGCCACUACGUCCAAAGCCCCCACCACGACGAGCCUCUAAGGUGGGGCAUAGGGUUGCUAGGAGAAAUAGGCAGGUUGCCACGGUGAGGAGAAGUCUCUGUUGGCCAACCAUCAUUGUUCCCUGUGAAGACAAGAACAUGACGAGUUUGUGAUGAGCAUAUCCCACAUUUCUACACUAGUGCUGGGUCGUUACCAAGACGAGAACAAGACAUGAACAUAAGCAUGAUCUGUGUUUAGUGUGAGACCCCCACAGUGACAUAAUGCCUGCAUUCAUCAGCUUGUCUGGAAAGUCUGUCCAGUGAUUAGUAUGGUGGAACACAAUGUACACACACACACACGUAAUAAUAUGGUAGAACACAACGCAUACACACACUAAUGUUCUCG